rnacentral:rRNA from 1 species
AUUGAACGCUGGCGGCAGGCCUAACACAUGCAAGUCGAGCGGCAGCGGGAAAGUAGCUUGCUACUUUUGCCGGCGAGCGGCUGACGGGUGAGUAAUGCCUGGGAAAUUGCCCAGUCGAGGGGGAUAACAGUUGGAAACGACUGCUAAUACCGCAUACGCCCUACGGGGGAAAGCAGGGGACCUUCCGGCCUUGCGCGAUGGGAUAUGCCAAGGUGGGAUUAGCUAGUUGGUGAGGUAAUGGCUCACCAAGGCGACGAUCCCUAGCUGGGCUGAGAGGAUGAUCAGCCACACUGGAACUGAGACACGGUCCAGACUCCUACGGGAGGCAGCAGUGGGGAAUAUUGCACAAUGGGGGAAACCCUGAUGCAGCCAUGCCGCGUGUGUGAAGAAGGCCUUCGGGUUGUAAAGCACUUUCAGCGAGGAGGAAAGGUCAGUAGCUAAUAUCUGCUAACUGUGACGUUACUCGCAGAAGAAGCACCGGCUAGCUCCGUGCCAGCCGCCGCAGUAA